rnacentral:rRNA from 1 species
AUACGGAGGGAGCUAGCGUUGUUCGGAAUUACUGGGCGUAAAGCGCGCGUAGGUGGACUGGUCAGUUGGGGGUGAAAUCCCAGGGCUCAACCCUGGAACUGCCUUCAAUACUGCCAGUCUUGAGUUCGAGAGAGGUGAGUGGAAUUCCUAGUGUAGAGGUGAAAUUCGUAGAUAUUAGGAAGAACACCAGCGGCGAAGGCGGCUCACUGGCUCGAUACUGACGCUGAGGUGCGAAAGCGUGGGGAGCAAACAGGAUUAGAAACCCGAGUAGUCC